GUGUCAGCCGCCGCGGUAAGACAGAGGGUGCGAGCGUUGUUCGGAAUUACUGGGCGUAAAGGGCGCGUAGGCGGUCUGUUAAGUUCGGUGUGAAAGCCCUCGGCUCACCCGAGGAAGUGCGCCGGAUACUGGCAGACUUGAGUACCGGAGAGGAGGGUGGAAUUCCUGGUGUAGCGGUGAAAUGCGUAGAUAUCAGGAGGAACACCGGUGGCGAAGGCGGCCCUCUGGACGAGUACUGACGCUGAGGCGCGAAAGCGUGGGGAUCAAACAGGAUUAGAAACCCCUGUAGUCC
rnacentral:rRNA from 1 species